rnacentral:lncRNA from 1 species
GGAGACGCAUGAUCUUCCCCAAGACCCGUGAGAUUUUCCACUGUAACUCCUAAGAGCUGUACUGUAGGAAAGGCCCCAUCAAAAAGGGAUCUAAUGAAUGAGAGGAAUUGGGAGUGAAGGGAAGCGAAGCCGCCAGAAGCUUCGAACAACUCUCUUUCUCUCUCCCUCUCUCUCUCCAUGGGUUCUGUUUUUAUCAGUGAUCUAAGUCUCACACAUAGGAACCUUGUUAGGUGGGGGGUUAGCUGUUUGAACCUGCUGCUGUCGAGGGACCUACAGUGUUGAGACAAAAGGGAAAGUCACGCAGGACACCCCAGCUCCGAGGGACGCUCGAAGUCCUUUCCUCCCGGUGCGCGUCACUGACCAGGGUGGUCUGGAACUUGUGGCAAUCCUGUCUUCUGUUUCCUGAAGGCAGGAAUUAUAGGUGCGCAAUCCCACAGCUGGCACUAUUUACUACUUUAAGAGGUUUGGGAGAGGACCCUGAGAAAGCAGAUACCUACCUACAAGACAAAGGGAGAAGACCAGAAAAACAAUAAGAAACAACAACGAAAACCUGGAUAUAGCUUGAUUUCAGAAACCCUGCACUCAGAACUGUGUGAACAAAUCUCUGCUGCUUAAGCCACCCGGUUACAGCACUCUCAGUAACCAAACACAACCUUGCCAGUCUGACAAACGACAGGAGUCUAACAUGGCUGUCCUCUGAGGGCUCCACCCAACAGCUGACUCAGACAGAUGCAGAAACCUGAAGUCAAACAAUGGACGGAGCUUGAAGACUCUGAGAGAAGAUUUAGAGGAAGAAUUGCAGGCCCGGAGGGAACAGGACAUCAGGGUUCUUAAGAUGACCCAGCAGACAAAAGCACUUGCUAUCUAGUCUGAUUUCACAUGUCAUUGAACACAUGUGCACACACACACACACACACACACACACACACACACACACACACACACACAAAUACCAAACAUUUUAAACAGGAUGCAACAUUAAAAUCUUCUAACAAUUCCUCCUGAUAUUGUUGAAAAUUACAGAUAUUAAAAGCCUAUGAGAGUUGUGAGCUAUGUGAAAGGUUCCCUCUAUCUUGAAUGACAGCAAAGUAAACUUUGUAGGAAAAUGGAAAUAAGAAACUACAUACUCAUACUAAAGGAAAGAAAUUUCUAUAAGGAUGAUAUCAGAUUAUGAAGAGAGGCUCCCACAGCAGGAACCAGCAGACAGAACCAGUAAACAGUUCCUGAAAUGGUUACAAUAAAUAACUGGAACAAGCAGGAGUACUAACGUGGAUGUGAGAAGAAGCCAAGUAGAAGUUCACAAAUGAAGAUUCUGUGCCUUUGUAUGUAAAGCUAUGGUAAAGUAGAUGUUAGAGGAAACAGGAGGAUGAACUAGAAGUUCCAGUAACAUAAGGAAGGCUGUGUGGAGAUUUAUGGUAGAAGAGAUGGCAUCGUGGCUCAGCAGAGAUGGAAAUUUUAUCAAACACCACUGUGCAAAUGGUUGUCAAUGGAAGACAGAAAAUGUGACUCUCACUUUACAUGAACACAAAAUCCAAGACAGAACGAAACCAAAAAAAGGGACAAACAAAACUUCAACCUUUUAGGGGAAAUGGUAGGAAGCUAUUGUGCCAGGAUGCUAAGGAAGUCUUUAUGGAAUCAGAGAGGAUCACCAGGAAAAGGGUCAUUGUGUUACCUCAGGCAGAGUAGUGGAGCCGGACAUGCACCUUAUAGCAGGUAAAAGCUAAUCUCCGUGGUACAGGCUCAGAUAUGUACUGAAAGUAUAGCACUUUCAUUUUUACGUAGUUUUAGGCUAGCUGUCCAAAUCUUUGGUUUCAUUUUGACAUUUUCAUUCAUGGGCAUCACAUUGUCUGCUUCCUCCCACAUGCCAUACUAUAUAUUGAACAUCGAGAAGAAAAAAAAAAAGAGUAAACUUAUUAUCUUAAAUUAAGCAACAGUUCUUUAAACAUAGCAUCAAAAGCACAAAUGUGAAUGAAAAACAAGAUAAAUUAGACUCUGAAAAUUGGUUCAUUAAAGUGCAGUAACAUAAAAAGACAAAGAUAACUUGAAACCAUAUCUAAUAAUGUACUAGUAUCCAUGAUGAACAGAGAUAAUUAAAUUAAAAGUAAGCAAAGGGUUUGAAUUAAUAUUUAGUCACAAAGACAUACUGAUGGCCACUAGGCUCAUGAAGAUAUGGUCGGCAUAGCUAGAUAAAUGAACAUCAAAGCCACCAUAACACAGUACAUCAUCUCAUAUCCACUAGAAUGGCUUUGAUUAGAAAAGAGGGUCAGUUGGAAUGCCGAAGAGUACAUGUCAAAAUUAGAAUCUUCAUUCACGGCUGGUGCGGAUGCCAAAUGGUUCAGCUGCUGCUCUGGUGUGCUUUCCUCCAACAUGACAUGACUGUUGCCUUCUUGAACACUCAGCAGCUGUGAAUGCCUAAUUGAGAUCCUCAAAAGACUGGGCUCAAUAACAUUCAGUAAUGGGGUAAGGGGCUCAUACAGCCCCACCUUUUCAUGAUGACAUAUAAGUAACUCACACAGGCUGGCUGCUGGGACAGGGACUUCUCUUGGGUUGUGUAGCUGUUUCUGAUUUGUCCAUGUUUCUGUAGGUACCUCCUCACACAUGCUUAUGUAAGUAAUCACAAUUAAAUUCAUUAAUUUACCAAG